UUCAACAAAUAUGACCUUGUGGACCAGUGCUGACCCUGAGGGAAAGAGUCACUAGUGGACGGUGGGCAAGAAACUGUACACUCAGCUCCAGGCUAAAGUUCUUUCACUUAGACCCACGUGCCAGAAUUGUCUUAGUACUGAUCCUCCUAUUGGGAGAUGCCACAACAUGCUUUGCCUAGAAUCCUUCCCAAGACUCAAUCAUUCUUUUCUCUCAUCCCUUUCUUUGUAGCAAGGGAGCCAACCAGAGCUAAGACACCAACUACUAAAGUAGUACCAGCCUUCACCCAUGAACAGUCAACAGUGCCACACAUCAGGCCACCUGUGACCACAGAGAUGAUCACAGCCACCACCUCCAUCAGCAGCACCUCCAGAACCUCUCUCUCCACAGAAGUGCCUCUGGAAACCUCUCCACAUCCCAGCUCUCCACCUGCCCCCAGCAGCCCGCUCAGCACCCGGCUGCCAUCCACUGCCACCACUUCCACAGCCUCCUCCACAGCAGCUCCCAGCACCAGCCCCAGGCCCACACCUACAACCCUGAGGCCCAGGGCUUCUUCCCCAACAACAGCCAGUGCUGCAAAGGAGUCUCCAGUCACAGAGUCCUCUGCUCCCACCACAGCCAAAACCAGCCUGCUGCCAUCACCUGCUUCUUCUCCCUCCUCAACUGUGUCCUCAACAUGGCUCAGCUCCACACAGCCUGGUAAGGUUCUCUCUUAAGUGUCCUUCUGCUUCUGCAUGCUCUCCCUUUUCUCUUUUUCAUUUCCAUGAGUGCAGACCACUUGCAUAUUUUCUUUAAAUUUGCUCUCCAUUCCAAAUUCUUUUUGAAUCAGCAGCGUGAUAUGGUUGUCAUUUGGUACUGCCCUGGGGCUCUGGUCACUCCCACACUGGCCACCAUGUCAGUUCUGAAGUGGGCAAACUUUAAUGUGCUCCUAUUCCUUGGGAGACGUGCACAUCCACACAGGCUCCGCUUCCAGAAGGAGGAAGAGGCAUCAUGCCUGUUGGAAAGCAGCAUGUCAUUUUCCUGCGUUUUUAUGAGAAAAAAAAGAGGGCAGCUAUAAGGCAGAGCCCUUGGUCCCACCUCCCUCUAUCUGAUAAAUGCUCAGUGCAGCAUGUUGUAAUUGUUGAUGUUGGUGCUCGCAGUCUGGAGCUACAGUAACCACAUUUGUCUUCUCAUUAUGUCCUCAUCCACAACUGACCUGUGCUUCCCUCCUGGCAGCCUUCACCCACAAACAGUCAACUGUGCCACACAUCGGGCCGCCUGUGACCACAGAGAA
rnacentral:lncRNA from 1 species